CAUUGGAGAAAGUUCUGUUGGACCUUGCUGGACUAGACUUUUUCAUCACAACUCUUUCCUCUCCACCAUGAAAAACCUUAAUGUACAGGUUCCCGAUGAUUGGCCCCUAGCACUGGAUCAUAUAUUUCAAUAAAGAAUUUAAGAUUGGAAACCGUGUGUGAAAUGAUUCUGUUACUUAUUAUGCAUUUUUGGUUCUCCUAGGAGAGAGGUGUACCCAGGAGCCCCAUGGAGUGUGUGUGGUUCAGACAUCAACAGUCUUGAAUGAGCAAUCACAGGGCAUGUUCCUGAGACAGAAUGGAAACUGGCUGUUGGCCCUUGCCUGCCUCGUAUGAAACACCAAGGUGAGGACACAGUGAGAAGAUGGCCAUCUAUCAACCAGGAAGCAGGCUCUCACCAGACACUGAAUCUGGUGGCACCUUGAUCUUGGGCUUCCCAGCCUCCAGAACUGGCUCUCUGAAUGCAGAUGGGCAGCAACCUGACUCACACCCUCUUAAACAAAAAGGGAAACGUUUGAUCUGUGAAGGCCAACUGGAUUCAGGGGCUCAAAUAUGGUUAUCAGGAUUAUGUCCGUUCUCUCAUCUUGCAACUCCACUCCCUUCCUCUUGACACUGUUCUGCACAAAGACUCUCUUCACGUGGUAGACAGAAUUCCAGCAGAAAGA